UCCUACGGGAGGCAGCAGUGGGGAAUAUUGGACAAUGGGGGAAACCCUGAUCCAGCCAUGCCGCGUGAAUGAUGAAGGCCUUCGGGUUGUAAAGUUCUUUUGGUGGGGACGAUGAUGACGGUACCCACAGAAUAAGCUCCGGCUAACUUCGUGCCAGCAGCCGCGGUAAUACGAAGGGGGCUAGCGUUGUUCGGAAUUACUGGGCGUAAAGGGCGCGUAGGCGGUUUAGUAAGUUGGGUGUGAAAGCCCAGGGCGCAACCCUGGAACUGCACUCAAAACUGCUUUACUUGAAUUCGGUAGAGGUUGGUGGAAUUCCCAGUGUAGAGGUGAAAUUCGUAGAUAUUGGGAAGAAUAUCCGUGGCGAAGGCGGCCAACUGGACCGACAUUGACGCUGAGGCGCGAAAGCGUGGGGAUCAAACAGGAUUAGAUACCCCGGUAGUCGA
rnacentral:rRNA from 1 species